CUAGAAAUAGGGGAAUACGUUAAAAGACCAAACCUACAAUUGACUGGAGUACCUGAAAGAGACAGGAAGAAUAGAAUGAACACACUUCAGGAUAUUAUCCAGGAGAACUUCCUUAAUCUAGCAAGACAGGCCAACAUUCAAAUUCGGGAAAGACAAAGAACAGCACUAAGAUACUCCACAAGAAGAUCAACCCCAAGACACACCCAGAAUUUCAUAUCCAGCCAAACCAAUCUUCAAUAAGCAAAGGAGAAAUAAAAUCCUUUCUAGACAAGCAAUUGCUAAGGGAUUUCAUCACCACCAGGCCUGCCUUGCAGGAGCUCCUGAAGGAAGUACUAAAUAUGGAAAGGAAAAACUGGUACCAGCCACUGCAAAAACACACCGAAAUAUAAAGACCAAUGACACUAUGAAGAAACGGCAUCAACUAGCGUGCAAAAUAACCAGCUAGCAUUAUGAUGAUGGAUCAAAUUCACACAUAACAAUAUUAACCUUAAAUGUAAAUGGGCUAAAUGCCCCAGUUAAAAGACACAGGCUAGCAAAUUGGAAAAAGAGUCAAGCACCAUUGGUGUGCUGUGUUCAGGAGACCCAUCUCACGUGCAAAGACAUACAUAGGCUCAAAAUAAAGGGAUGGAGGAAAAUUUACCAAGCAAAUGGAAAGCCAAAAAAAAAAAAAAAGAAAAAGAAAAAAAAAAGCAGGAGUUUCAAUCCUAGGCUCUGAUAAAACAGACUUUAAACAAACAGAGAUCAAAAGAGACAAAGAAGGGCAUUUAAGGGAUCGAUGCAACAAGAAGAGCUAUUUUAAAUAUAUAUGCACCCAAUUCAGAAGCACCCAGAUUCAUAAAACAAGUUCUUAGAGAUCUACAAAGAGACUUAGACUCCCUCACAAUAAUAGUGGGAGACUUUAACACCCCACUGUUAAUAUUAGACAGAUCAACAAGACAGAAAAUUAACAAGGAUAUUCAGGACUUGAACCCAGUUCUGGAUCAAGUGGACCUAAUAGACAUCUAUAGAACUCUCCACCCCAAAUCA
rnacentral:lncRNA from 10 species